rnacentral:rRNA from 1 species
UACGGAGGGAGCUAGCGUUGUUCGGAAUUACUGGGCGUAAAGCGCGCGUAGGCGGCUUUGUAAGUUAGAGGUGAAAGCCCGGAGCUCAACUCCGGAACUGCCUUUAAAACUGCAUCGCUUGAAUCCAGGAGAGGUGAGUGGAACUCCGAGUGUAGAGGUGAAAUUCGUAGAUAUUCGGAAGAACACCAGUGGCGAAGGCGGCUCACUGGCCCGGUACUGACGCUGAGGUGCGAAAGCGUGGGGAGCAAACAGG